UACGGGGGGGGCAAGCGUUGUUCGGAAUUACUGGGCGUAAAGGGCUCGUAGGCGGCCAACUAAGUCGGAUGUGAAAUCCCCAGGCUCAACUUGGGAACUGCAUCCGAUACUGGAUGGCUUGAAUUCGGGAGAGGGAUGCAGAAUUCCAGGUGUAGCGGUGAAAUGCGUAGAUAUCUGGAGGAAUACCGGUGGCGAAGGCGGCAUCCUGGACCGAUAUUGACGCUGAUGAGCGAAAGCUAGGGGAGCAAACGGG
rnacentral:rRNA from 1 species